rnacentral:snRNA from 1 species
AUCGCUUCUCGGCCUUUUGGCUAAGAUCAAGUGUAGUAUCUGUUCCAUCAGUUUACUGAUCUCGAUACGUGUCCCUCAUCCGAGGACAAUAUAUUAAAUGGAUUUUGAGCUGGGAGAUGGAGCUUGCUCCGUCCACCCGCGCAUCGAUCUGGUAUUGCAGUACUUCCAGGAACGGUGCACCCCCA